CUUACUCUCUUUUGUUUAGUUCUUCCUCUCUUGAUUGAAUCUUUUAUUUUUUUUAGUUUUUUAUUUCUAUUGGGGUAAAUAAUCGGUUUGUUAUUUCUACAUGAUGUCCAUGUUGAUUUUAUAGGUAUCAAACAUUUUUUUUUAUUUUUGUUCUGAAAGUUUGGACAGAAAAGAUUUGAGAGUGAAAUUUUGCUUUGUGCCUUUCUUAUUUUUUUCAUAUUAAAAUUAUUUGUUUUUAGUAACCAGAUUUUAUUUGUAUAAAAUUAGUAAGGAUUUGAGGUCCAUAUUGAUUUGACAAGUAUCAUGAACAUUUGAUUUCAUUUUUCUUUCUUUGAAAUUUUGCACACACGAAUUGAGAGUCAAUUUUAAUUUUUUGAGUUUUUUUUUUUAAUUCUGAUUAACGCUACAUGUCGUAGGUUAGUAGCCAUAUUUGAUUAGUAUAAUAAGCGCUGCUGUUGUGAAUGUGGUAACUGACAUACGCUUAUAUACAUAAUUGUACACCACUUGAGUUUUACUUGGAUAGUUGGAUGCUAUUUAUAUACUUUUUGUUCCUGACUCACCUGUUCUUUAAUUGUGGUGCAGCUCUUGGCUUGGGAGAAAAGGCUUUUUGGGCAAGUAAGUUAUACUACUACUUGCUUAUUUUUAUAUAAAAUUUAAGGCGUUAAAUAUUUAUAUUUGGGUGUCUCGUGCAGUCGUGCUAUUUGGUGAUGUUUGUGUAUUGUCAGGUUUGCUGGGACUAAGAAAAGAAUGAGUGUCUUCAAAGGCAAUGGGAAAGAUGGAAAGUGAAAAGGUGUCAAAAGACCCUAAUAAACCAAAGAAGCAACUGAGUGGUUUCUUCGUUUAGUCCAAAAGGUGUGCUCUCAACAGAAAGUCUAUUCAUGCUGUGAGAGACAAGUUAAAUGAAUUAGAUCAUUCUAAAAGUUCAUGUGAUGAAGUUGAUGAAAGUUAGGAGGAGUAUGUGAUUGGUCUUAAACAAUGCUCUGUUGAGAAAAGAGGAGCAUCUUUCCUUGGAAGAGGUUGAUAAGAUCCUUGAUGCUGAAAUUUGAUGAGUCUCAUGGCUCUGGAGAUGAGUCUGCGUGUUAAAUGAGAUGACUGCCCAUGCCAGUUAACUAGAGCUAUUGAUUAGGACUAACAGGGCAUUAGAUAUUUUGGUUGUGUCCAUGUAAGCAUUUCAUAUUUUGGGUUGUGAUGUAGGAGAUGUGUGGAUUAAAAUGUUUUUAUCUUCUGUAUGGAAUGCUUUGUGCAUUUGUAUUGGGCUUAUUUCAAAUGUAAUUAAUAAAGUGCUAGGAUGUGAAGUGUGGACACAAUAUCAUUAACCGCGAGGCAAAUUAAUUGUGCAGUCCUUUAUGUUUGUAGUUCAAUAAUUUCUUUGAAAUUCAAUAAAGUGAAGUAGCUCCUUUAUGA